AUGGCUGCCAACUCGUUCUCUGCACCGGCGCAGGCGGUGAAGGGCGUGGCGAAAACGUUGGCUCACCGCCGCCAGGCCGUGGUUGGGUUCCUGUUUGCUCUCAUCGUCAUCCUCGUGCUCCACACCACCGUGGUGUUUGGCCCGUCCCGGUCCACGAAUGACAUUGUCGUUCUGCAGUCCACAUCGGGCGAGCAAAAUGCCAGGAUCUCUUCUCCUCCAGCGUUCUUGGCACCUAAUAAUUCUAUUCAAGUACAUGACAUAGAUAACUGGGAGAAGGACGACGCAGCCAAUAAUGAUGGGGAAAGAAGGGACCAGUUAGGCCAAACAGUAAAAAAUGAUACUAAUGACAAGAUGCAGGAAGAGCUCAUUCGUCAAGAACUCGAUGGAGACGUCAUACAUGGUGCUCCGGGGAAGCCCAUCUGCGACCUCUCUGACCCGAGGUACGACAUCUGCGACAUCACCGGAGACGCCCGUGCCAUCGGCGCCAACCGUACCGUCCUCUAUGUCCCGCCAGCCGACGAGCGCGGCACCGACGGCCCGGAGUGGGCCAUCAAGGACCAGUCCCGCAAGAACCUCGGGGACAUCGUCGAGGUGAAUGUCAAGACCCUGAGUGCCGCGCAGUCCCUGGUGGCGCCGGAGUGCACCUCACGGCACGCUGUCCCUGCCGUCGUUUUCGCCAUGAAUGUGAUCAUAGGCAACCCAUGGCACGACUUGAGCGAUGUCCUGAUCCCGCUCUUCAUCACCACCCGCGCCUACGACGGCGAGGUCCAGUUCCUUGUCACCGAGCUCCAGCCGUGGUUCAUGGACAAGUAUCGUCUCAUCCUCACCAACCUGUCACGCUACGAUAUUGUCGACUUCAACAAGGACGCCGGCGUCCGUUGCUACCCGCACAUCAUAGUCGGCCUCCGCAGCCAUGGUGACCUCGACAUCGACCCAACCCGCACGCCGCACAACUACACAUUGCUAGAUUUUCGCCUCUACAUCCGGGAGGUCUUCUCGCUUCCGCCGGAGAGCCGAGGAAUCCCGUACAAGGAGGCCAGUAAGAAGAACGCAGCCAACGACAACGGCACUGUCACGGAGAAACCAAAGCCGCGGCUCUUGCUCAUCAAUCGCGGCGAGAGCAGGAAGUUCGUCAACCUUCCGGAGGUCUCUGCGGCAGUGCAGACAGCCGGGUUCGAGCUGCUGGUCAUGGAGCCGAGCCGUGACAUGAGGCUCGAGGAGUUCGCCCGGGCGGUGGACUCGUGCGACGUGCUGAUGGGUGUGCACGGGGCCGCGCUCACAAACUUCUUCUUCCUGCGCACCAACGCGGUGCUGCUGCAGGUGGUGGGGUUGGGCCUGGAGCGCGAGGCCUUGCAUUACUACGGCAAUCAGGCCAAGUCGGUGAUGGUGCAACACAUCCAGUACUUCAUCAGCGCCGAGGAGAGCACGCUCUAUGAAAAGUACGGCAAGGACCACCCGGCGGUAAGUGACCCGGACUCGGUACACAAGCAGGGUUGGCAGGGUGCAAAGCGCUACUUCUGGGCGGAGCAGGACAUCAGACUGAAUGUCACCAGAUUUGCUCCCACGCUGCAUCAGCUGCUUCGCACACUCCGGGAAUAG
rnacentral:rRNA from 1 species